CAGAGUUUUCAGUCACCCAGAGAAUCAGAAACCAGAGUUUUCAGUUACCCAGGGCAUCAGAAUCUUCAGUUUUGAUUUACCUAGAGAAUAGAAAGUGGAGGAGACUAAACAAUCUAAUGGGACCUUGGUCUUAUUGUUAUCUCGAGGGGGGGGCAGUUUGACCCAGCCACCCUUAUAACUGGCUCUCUUCAUGGUUCUCUUAAAAUUUAGGCCUCCCUUGCGAGACGAGAAUCUUCACCAUCUGAAUCAUGAGUGCCGGUGCCCGUCGUCAGUCCCUUCUCUCUCCGUUACUGGACCUGGAUCUGGAUCUGGAUCUGGACACUCAUUACCAGCUUGUGCAUCUCACUGCUGAUAUCAUGAUGCUACUUAACUAUCUUCGCAGCACCCCCUCUAGGAAUGGAGAUCCGGGGUUCCCCCCUCUUCUUCGAUACAGAAUCUGCCUACAGCAUCUACAGCAAUCUACAGCAAAUAUGCUGUCCGAAAGAACGCAUUAACAUCAAGGGCAACAAGUGCUGAGAUUGUGACGGUGAUGAAAAGGUGGCUGCAGCUGGCUUCAGACCGUGGAGGAGGAUGGAAGAGGUGCAACAAACAGUAGCUUGUCCUGACUAGGAACGCAUAAACCAUUAUAAUCAACGAGGAAAAAAUUCAGCGGUGAUCAGCCUGGAGCUCACGAGUGUAUGCCCAGGAUGACACUCUCUCCCUGGGCAAAGCCUGCGAACUUCACCCACUGCCCGGAGCUCAGUCCAUGUACUUUCGGAAAUUUCGGCUGUGUGGUCUCGCCAUGAGUGAUGCUACUGUACUUUUGGACAUGUCAAAAUAUUAAGACAAUGGGAAUUCAGUUCAAACAUUUUAAUG